AACCUACCUUUAUCUGGAGGAUAGCCUUUACGAAAGGAAGAUUAAUACUCCAUAAUAUAUUGAUUGGCAUCGAUUGAUAUUGAAAGCUCCGGCGGAUAGAGAUGGGUACGCGCAAGAUUAGCUAGUUGGUGAGGUAACGGCUCACCAAGGCGAUGAUCUUAGGGGCCUGAGAGGGUGAUCCCCCACACUGGUACUGAGACACGGACCAGACUCCUACGGGAGGCAGCAGUGAGGAAUAUUGGUCAAUGGGUGCAAGCCUGAACCAGCCAUCCCGCGUGAAGGACGACUGCCCUAUGGGUUGUAAACUUCUUUUGUAUAGGGAUAAACCUACCCUCGUGAGGGUAGCUGAAGGUACUAUACGAAUAAGCACCGGCUAACUCCGUG
rnacentral:rRNA from 1 species